rnacentral:rRNA from 1 species
CUGUGAGCUCGAUGAGUAGGGCGGGACACGUGGUAUCCUGUCUGAAUAUGGGGGGACCAUCCUCCAAGGCUAAAUACUCCUGACUGACCGAUAGUGAACCAGUACCGUGAGGGAAAGGCGAAAAGAACCCCGGCGAGGGGAGUGAAAAAGAACCUGAAACCGUGUACGUACAAGCAGUGGGAGCCCCACCACUAAGCCAGUGGUGAACUCCACAUACGCAUCCUUUGCUGAGGAUACGGUUAACGGAGCGAAAGCGACGUUCAACCGCAAAAGAAGCAGAGGGGGCUUAGUGGUGGGGUGACUGCGUACCUUUUGUAUAAUGGGUCAGCGACUUAUAUUCUGUAGCAAGGUUAACCGAAUAGGGGAGCCGGAGGGAAACCGAGUCUUAACCGGGCGUUAAGUUGCAGGGUAUAGACCCGAAACCCGGUGAUCUAGCCAUGGGCAGGUUGAAGGUUGGGUAACACUAACUGGAGGACCGAACCGACUAAUGUUGAAAAAUUAGCGGAUGACCUGUGGCUGGGGGUGAAAGGCCAAUCAAACCGGGAGAUAGCUGGUUCUCCCCGAAAGCUAUUUAGGUAGCGCCUCGUGAAUUCAUCUCCGGGGGUAGAGCACUGUUUCGGCUAGGGGGCCAUCCCGGCUUACCAACCCGAUGCAAACUGCGAAUACCGGAGAAUGUUAUCACGGGAGACACACGGCGGGUGCUAACGUCCGUCGUGAAGAGGGAAACAACCCAGACCGCCAGCUAAGGUCCCAAAGUCAUGGUUAAGUGGGAAACGAUGUGGGAAGGCCCAGACAGCCAGGAUGUUGGCUUAGAAGCAGCCAUCAUUUAAAGAAAGCGUAAUAGCUCACUGGUCGAGUCGGCCUGCGCGGAAGAUGUAACGGGGCUAAACCAUGCACCGAAGCUGCGGCAGCGAACGUAUCACUUAAAGCGAUUCAGCGGGUUACGAUUGACGG